rnacentral:lncRNA from 1 species
UCCCCACGCCACUCUCCCUACUCCCUCUCUCUCUCUAUCUCCCUCUCUCUAGCUCCACAUGCAACAGCAGCCCCCCUCCCAUGGAGCUGACGACCGAGCCCUCCCAAGCUCCACUCUCACCUUGGCAAGCUCUCCCAUGGCGUCUCCCCCUCCUCUACGGCAGUAAGGUGUAGGUGAGCUCCGGAUCAAGAACUUGUGUGCUGAAAUUUCAGAUUCUUGCACUUUCUUCUAAAAUCUAUAACUCGAGUUUGGGAGCUCCUAAAAUAGUAAGACUUGUUUUGUUAGCUUCCAUAUGAAAUGUCCUACCUAUUAGAUCUAUAAUAUGACCUGUUUUAGUAGACGUUUUUGUCUGUGCAAAUUAAAUCUUAAAAAUAGGUUUAGAGAAUAAACGAACUUGCUUCUCUCCAUAGUUUUCAUUAUAAAAAUCCAAAAAUAAUCAAACUUGUUUUGUUAGUUAGAUGUUGUCAUACUCCAUCUAAGAAAAAUAUAAAACUUAUAUGUUGUUCACUGUUUUUUUGGUAUGCUAAUUAAAUCUUGUUAACUAUGAAAAAGAUGAUUGUUUUGCUUGUUGUUUUUGGAUCUGUAGCUCCAGUGCUCCAAAUGGAUUGCAAUUUUUACAGUAGCCCCUCUGUGUGAUGCUUAGUGACUGAUAAAAAUUUCAUAAUUUAUGGUCAAUGUAUCACCGAGUUAGUGAUUUAACUUUUUUGAUGCAUACUAAAUAGUUUUAAAUAGUGUAUAAAUAAUGUAUGGAUGUAAAAAUGGAAAAUGGUGUUCCACUGUCCUUGCAAAAUAUUAUAGUAGCCUAAGAAAACUUAAUAUGGUCAUGCAUCCAAAGAAAAUAAUUAAUUUUACAAUUAACUUGCUCUCACAAGCUUUAUUGCACUAACAACUUGUUAUUUUUGUAUUAAAUAAAAUAGAAAACCUGCGCAUGUGAAAUUUAUACAUUGGUCAUGAUUUGUUAUUACCUAUGUCUCAUAAAAAUCCCAGCCCCAAAUUGGAUAGUUUCAUAUGGUGCUAAAAUGACACACGUUUUAUAAUAUUAAGAAGAAUUAGAGACAAAUUAGAAGUAAGCAAACCAUGCAUGUUGGAAUGGUUUAUGUCAUACAAUCAGAUUUGAAAUUUGAAGAAUGGGUAGGGUAUUUAAGAAAUGUUAGCCAAUAGGUUCGGUCAAGCAUGGUAGAGGUUAAAUCGGUUAUGUUGUAGAAUUGAUGCUCGACAUGAUAGACCCCCUAAAAUGUGCUAUUUUAGGUGACUUGUUUGCUAACCAAUUUAAGUUGAGCAAUGGUUAAGAAAAGAUGAUUAAUCUAAUCCAACCCAUGUUUUUGAGUUGCAAUGUCUAAAAUGGUUUGCUAAGUCUUAUGUUGUGAUUAGCCAACUCAUGUUAAGUAGGAGUCGAUUUUGUUAAGUGAUUGUUAUAUAUAUGUUGUGUCUCGGAUUUCGAUAAUAAUAAGCUAGCCGACGAGUAUGUUGUAUAGCGGCCUAGAUUGUUGCUAUGGUUAGCCGACUUGUUAGAUGACUUGUUUAAGCUCGUAAUCACGGUGAAUUGCUUGUUAUGGGUUAAAUACGCAUGGUUAUGGUGGAUGCAUUUGUUAAACGUGUGCGGUAAUUCAAGUGCACGAAAUGACAUAGAUAAAAAUUAGUAAGUCUACUUGUUAGUCCUCAUUUGAUUAAUUUAACUCUAACAAAUGGUAAAGUGUUAGAUUAAUCCCUGUCUCUAGAACAUAUCAAUUCUUGAAUUGUAUAGAAGCUGAAACUGAUUAAUUGCUGUUUUUGCCUGCACGCAGUGAUUUCCCCGUGCUGUAUGUUUGAUGAACUAAAUUGUGUUUUCUGUAGAUAUGUGCUAUAGAAAAGUGGUAGAUAACUUUAUUAUCUUUCUGGUGUUAAAAUUUGACAGCCAUAAGUCUGAUCGUUAAGCAGUUAUGGUUUUUACAAAUUCAGUAAUUGAAUCUGUCCAAAUUCUACACAGAUUUCAGAAACUGCAUUGUUUGCUUAAUUUGCUGUUACAAUCUGUUCAUGGUCAUUAUAAAAAAGUUGUAGAUUCUUUUCUUAUCUUGCUUGUGUUAAAAUUGCAUAACCGUAGGCCUGACAGUAUAGGAGUUAUAAAUUUUACAAACUAGUUGCUGGGUUCUGUCCACUGUCAGAACAGAUUUCGAAAACUGUAAUGUUUGAUUGGAUUAAACCUGGAAUCACUUCUUGGUGAUUAUAAAAGUUAUGUAGUGCUUUUGCUAAGCUUUCCAAAAAGUCUUGGGUCACUCUUUUUGGUGGUCUGAAGAUUAAGUUCUGAAUGUUUGAAGUAUGAAAUCUGAAUCUGUCCAAAUCUAGACAGCGACGCCUUCUAGUGUCUGUUAUCCUUAAUUGCAUAUUGAAUCACCUUGAGAUGUUUAUAAAUAAUCUGUAGAACAUUGAAUUAGCUUUCCAGAAAUUCUAGGAUCACCUUGUUUGCAUGUCUGAAUCUUUAGUUGUGAAUUUCUGAAUUUGCAAGUCUGAAUCUGUCCAAAUCUGGACAGAACUGUUAUGUUAGCACUGUUUGACCUUGCUAAGUGCUGAAUCCUGUGGAGGUAAAAAUACCAAAGUUGUAGUUCACUUUUUAAGCUUUCCAGAAUGUCCUAGUUUGCUAUUUUUGGAUUAAUCUUUGAAAAGUUAUGGUUAAAGCAAGUGACUGAUGUGCUGCUGUCCUAAAUUUCUGCAAGUGCUUAAUUGAUUGCUGAGUUGACCCUUUUGGCUAAAAAUGCUUAGUUAACACUUAAGUAAUGUAGACUUGCCAUGACUAAGCUUAAUAAUGCAUGUGUGUCAUGUUUUAUAUGUUUCUUCUCAAGUUGAUUGUGAUAUAGGAGUUUCCAUAGACAUUGAUGCCAAUGUCCACUAUUGAACUUGUGUGCUCGGUGAUGCUUUCGCGUGAUCAAUAGGAGAACUAAUGAAAAGCCGUGUCCAAAUAAAUAAAAUGCACGUACUUGUGAUGUCGUAGUGGUGUUGCGUAAAUACAUAAAAUAUUUGUUGUCUUUUAAUGGUAUUAAUGUUGAACGUCGAUAGUGUGUAGAUAACUAAAGCGAACAUGUGGUUGUUACGGUGUCUUCCAUUUUAUUGUUUAGUUCGCCAUUGUGUCCUUGUAUGUCUUGUGCUACUUUUGUGCUACUUUCAUUAUAUUCAUACAUAUACACCUUGCAUCUCAUUUAGGACUGAGAGAUGACGAUCGUGCAAGUGAUGUGGUGCCAACCACAAGAUGCAGUUGGUGGACGAUCUGAAGAGAUGAUGGACUUAUCCAGUGGAUGCUCGCCAAGCGAGUACCCACCCCAGCAAACACUAUCUAAGUGUCAAAAUAAAGGCAAGCCCCGGUUUUAUGCAUAACCGUUAUAUAUGCUAUUUUACUGCACUUAAUGUUUGUAGGCUUGUAAUGUGCACUUAAGUGUAGGAGUUGACUGAAACCCUAGUUGCAUGAACUCAAGAUUCCUUUUGAGAUGGAUACUAGUAUGCUAGGUCGAGUAGCUGCUUUACUAAUUAGGGAUCUCGGUAGAAGUCGAGUGAUUUUUCUAGCACUCGCGCGAGGUUAGGAAUUGGUUGUAUCCAUUUUUAUAUCAUAAUGAUGAUGGUCUAUGGACAACGAUCCAUGGGGAUGCGUUGUCUAUGAGACGGAAAUUGGAAUAAGGAUUAACGUGCGGAUACCUGUGUCAAGCGUUUGAACGUACUAAACAUAUGCCGAGAAAUAUGGUAAAUCGGUAAGCCUAGUACCUACAAAACGACCUGCCCUUUAGCAAUGCAUAUAUGUGUUGGUACAAGCCAAUAUAAGCGUUGCUAGGGUCUAUACCAACGCAUAAUUAUGUGUUGCCUAUACUGUCGUUGCUAGGGGCUACCGUAACACUUAUACAUACGUUGGUAAGUCAUAUAAAUAAGCGUUGGUAAACUGCAACAGAUUUUUAUAAGAUACAACAACGCUUACAUGUGUUGGUGCCGCCCAUGACCAACUCGUCAUCAUAGGAUGCAACGUUUAGAUUUGAGUUGUGGCAACAUUUUUAUGCGUUGCAAGCAAUAAACCAAUAAAAAAAUUGAAUAUUUUAUUUUGAGGUUAAGAGUACAUGCUGAACAAUGCACAUUUGAUAUUUCUGGAAUCAUCCACACACACGACAAAUAAGAAAAAAUAAUAUAUAUUAAAAAUCAAUAGUUGCAUUACAAGAAGUUGAUCCAUAGUUUCAUAUAUAAUAUAUGUUCGAU